UGAGGAACACGUGAGAAACCUGCCUCGGAUUUUGGGAUAACAAAUGGAAACGUUUGCUAAUACCAAAUAACGUCGGAAGUCCGCAUGGACAUCUGACGAAAGGAAUUCCGAUUCGAGAGGGUCUCGCGGCCUAUCAGCUAGUUGGCGAGGUAAUGGCCCACCAAGGCAACGACGGGUAGCUGGUCUGAGAGGAUGGUCAGCCACACUGGGACUGAGACACGGCCCAGACUCC
rnacentral:rRNA from 1 species